AUACAAAAAGCAGAGCGAAGACAUAUAAUUAUUUAUAUAACCUCUUAAAAUUCGUAUUAAAUUUCAUCAACAAGUAAAAAAUGUACUUGUGUCAGUAGAAUAUUUUUGUGAAAGGUUCACAAAGUUAAAGGGAAUAAAGUUUCAACUGCUUCUAAAGUACACAAUGUUAUUGUUGUAUUCUUACUCUGGUCUCUUGUGAGGGCGAUAAGAUGAUUAAAACUUACUACAUAUGUAAUCAAAUUAUUCAACAGUGCGGUAAAGUUUACCAAACUUGAUUAACAAACUUCGAUUAGUUAACCGGAAAUAAUCUGGACAGCUCUCAGCGACUGUCAAUUUUUCUGUGGCAAUUUUACUAAAACGGUGAUUGGAGAUCCUAAAUUUUAAACCACGAACUUCAUUGCAUUUUCAUUUAAACCAUCUAGGUAUCGGAUGACUUAAUGAUAUGUUAGCUAGAUAUACCAGUGGGAGGCUUCUUUGCACAGUAAGACGGCUAGAUUAUGGGUACCACAAUGGCGCCUAUUUCUGCCAUGAGGCAGUAAUGUGUAAACAUCAAAGUGUUUCGUUGUGAAGGGCGCCGUAACUAGUGAAAUUACUGGGCAAAUGAGACUUUACAUCUUAUGUCUCAAGGUGACUAGCGCAAUUAUUGUAGUGCCACUCAGAAUUUUUGGGUUUUUCAAGAAUCCUGAGCCGCACUGUAUUGUAAUGGGUAGGGUGUAUCAAUAACCAUGCUGAAUUUCCUGCUCCCGUCCUUUAUUUUCAUUAAAAAAAGCCGUUUUUAUAAAAAAAAACUCUCACACACUGUGUCACACUCUGGUGCUACAGAUUCGAAUCGUGCAUUGCCCAUAAAUAUUUUCAUAUAUGAAUAAAAUUGUGUUACAAUACCAAAAGCCAGAGAGUGUCACUUAAAAAUAAGAAUUGUUAAUACUAUACUGGUACAAACGUUUUCUCGUAUCUUUUCCAGUGGUGAUUUUUAAAUCGAGGCAUGGAAAAGAUAACAUACGAAUUGGGAAUGAUAUAUUCUAUCCGCGCUGUCAUCAGUACAAGCGGGAAAAGCUGCGGUGGUCGUGCACGAAAAACAGCUGUAAUAUUUAUUACGAGUAAAGGUAUACCCACACUAAGCUGCGGUGGGUAUCGGUUCACAAGAAGAAGUUACAUAUCGAAGAACACGAACAAAUACCGAUGGAGAUGUUCACUGAACAGUAGAAGUCAGUAUUGUAAAGCGAAUAUUCACACGAUUGAAAAUAAAAUUGUUUUCUUUAGGAACGAACAUAAUCAUGAGCCUACAAUAACUACAAGUGUGAGAGGGCAAUUGUUGGAGUUUGAUAACUUUUGCGUAUUCUAGACUAUUCCUUGUAUGAAAUUGUAUGAAUACGUGGUCACUACAUCAAGCGGAACUCCGUAGCGUCACCUGAACGAUUCGCUUGUAGCUCCACGCACGGUCAGCGAGUGGAACAUUCAGUAAUCAAUCCACUGUUGAAUGAAAUGAACGCGCGACCUUCACUAGUGACGACGCGGCAGCCACCCGUCGACUUGUACACUGAGUGGACGACGAACGUCGAUGCGGUGCCAAACAACUGCCGGGUGGCUUGAGUGAGGUUUGGAAUAUUGCAGGCCGUAUUAUGUAACAAGCAGACGGGGCGGGUAUCUCGCUUAUAAAGAGCAUCAGUACCACAAAUUGAAAACGUAUAAGAACGGAUGCGUCAUCUGGCGAUGUUGGUUGUACAGACGACAGAAUUGCCGCGGGACGAUAACGACCUGUCGUUAGUGCCCGGCAGACAAAAGGAGAUACAUUUUAUCCACACUAAACGGGGUAUAAUUCUCCUUCUAAUGGGGCAACUAUAUCAUAGAGUAAAGAAUUACAAAAACGGAUCAGUUCUGUGGCGGUGCGCUUCGUAUAAAAAGGAGACCUGUACUGGAAAAGUAACAUUACAUGAAAACUAUUUAGCUUCACAUUCAAAACAUAGUUGUAUGUAUGACGUCAGCAAGAAAAUUAGCAGGUUGAUGGGGAAUCCUGAAUACUAUUGGGAAACUAAGAGAUAUUGAUAUUGAUGUCUUCCAUUACUCGAUAUAGUUACCCCUUACUUAGUAUUGAUGUAUCUUUUAUUUAUCUAUUUCAUAUUUCUUGAAUACGCUUAAUUUUUAGAAAAUGGAUGAGUCAAUUACUAUAAAUAUUGAUUUUGUAGUUGAGUAACAUAUAAUAAUAAUGUUACCGUUAUAUAAGACAUAUUGUGUAAUAGUUUAAUAAAAUUUAAAAAGAU